rnacentral:rRNA from 1 species
AAAUGAAUUGACGGGGACCCGCACAAGCGGUGGAGCAUGUGGUUUAAUUCGAAGCAACGCGAAGAACCUUACCAGGUCUUGACAUCCCACUGCCCGUUAUGGAGACAUAACUUUCCCUUCGGGGACAGUGGUGACAGGUGGUGCAUGGUUGUCGUCAGCUCGUGUCGUGAGAUGUUGGGUUAAGUCCCGUAACGAGCGCAACCCUUAGGUCUAGUUGCCAGCAUUCAGUUGGGCACUCUAGAACGACUGCCGGUGACAAAUCGGAGGAAGGUGGGGAUGACGUCAAAUCAUCAUGCCCCUUAUGACCUGGGCUACACACGUGCUACAAUGGAUGGAACAAAGGGGAGCGAAGCGGCGACGUGAAGCAAAUCCCAUAAAACCAUUCUCAGUUCGGAUUGCAGGCUGCAACUCGCCUGCAUGAAGCCGGAAUCGCUAGUAAUCGUGGAUCAGCAUGCCACGGUGAAUACGUUCCCGGGUCUUGUACACACCGCCCGU